rnacentral:rRNA from 1 species
CAGUCGCCGCGGGAAUACAGAGGGUGCAAGCGUUAAUCGGAAUUACUGGGCGUAAAGCGCGCGUAGGUGGUUUGUUAAGUUGGAUGUGAAAUCCCCGGGCUCAACCUGGGAACUGCAUCCAAAACUGGCAAGCUAGAGUAUGGUAGAGGGUGGUGGAAUUUCCUGUGUAGCGGUGAAAUGCGUAGAGAUCUGGAGGAAUACCGGUGGCGAAGGCGGCCCCCUGGACAAAGACUGACGCUCAGGUGCGAAAGCGUGGGGAGCAAACAGGAUUAGAUACCCGCGUAGUCCCUGUCUCUUAUAA